AAGCCGUGGGUGUCCGGAGGCGGGAAGUCCAAGACCAGUGCGCCGGGACAGUUGGCUUCUGGUGAGGACCCUGUUCCGGGUUGCAGAAAGCCAAGUUCUCACCGUGUUCUCACGUGGUAGGAGGGGCAAACCACCGUCUGGGGUUUCUUUUAUAAGAGUACUGAUUCCACUCAUGAGGCUCUGCCCUCGGGAGCUACUCAGCGGCCCCCCUCCGAAUACCAUCACCUCGGCCAUUCGGUUUCACCAUGCGGGUUUGGGAGGAGGGACACAUUCAGACCCUAGGCCCACCGAGGUCAUGUGCCACUUCCAAGCUGUCUCCUCCCAGCGACACCUGUGGCAGGUGACCUCCCUGUAAUGCAGGGUCUGGCUCCUUACUUUAAAAUGUGACAGCCGACAGCUUCGAAGCCUCAUCCUCCCUGUCCCUUGUGCCCCACACAUGGGCAAGCUGAUGUCAAAGCCUCCGGGCUCCCUUCCUCGGCAUCAGCGGGGAGUUCGCACCACCCACAGGAACCCCCGCCCCUGCUCUAGCUCCAAACACGACAGAGACACCCCCGCACCCCCUGCCCGGUCUCCUUUCCAUGUCCUCUCAAGUCGUCUUCUGACCACCUUGGGGACCUGCCGUGCGAUCCCAGGAAGCCUCAAUGU
rnacentral:lncRNA from 1 species